rnacentral:rRNA from 1 species
UGGGAAUUUGGACGAAUGGGCGAAAGCCUGAUCCAGCAAUGCCGCGUGUGUGAAGAAGGCCUUCGGGUUGUAAAGCACUUUUGUCCGGAAAGAAAUCCUUGGCUCUAAUACAGUCGGGGGAUGACGGUACCGGAAGAAUAAGCAUCGGCUAACUACGUGCCAGCAGCCGCGGUAAUACGUAGGGUGCAAGCGUUAAUCGGAAUUACUGGGCGUAAAGCGUGCGCAGGCGGUUUGCUAAGACCGAUGUGAAAUCCCCGGGCUCAACCUGGGAACUGCAUUGGUGACUGGCAGGCUAGAGUAUGGCAGAGGGGGGUGAGAAUUCCACGUGUAGCAGUGAAAUGCGUAGAGAUGUGGAGGAAUACCGAUGGCGAAGGCAGCCCCCUGGCAAGUACUGACGCUCAUGCACGAAAAGCGUGGGGGAGC